AUGUCCAGUUUUUCUUUCAGCUCAAUUCCUAGAUUUCAUUCAGUUCAAUUCUUAUGUAGGUACUUGGUGGUGGCAUUGCUUCACUUCCCUUGUUAUGCUCUCUUCGCCCAAGUUCCGAGAAUCAAGAAAACAAAUAAUAGUGCUUGCAUGAAAAUGUACGAGCAAAAAAAACCACAAAGGCCUUUGCGUAGAAACAUCACCUCCACACCCCCUCCAUUCAUGCACAAUACAUGCUUCUCCUGCCGCCGUGCCGCCUGGAUCCAACGAGGCUGUGUCACACUGGCCCCGGAUCCGCCCGCUUCCAAUGAGGUUGCGUCACCCGCUGGCGCACCUCUGCCUCGCCGUGGGCAGUGGAUGCUCCUCCGCAGCUCAACCUCCUGGUAG
rnacentral:rRNA from 1 species